AUUGAACGCUGGCGGCAGGCCUCACACAUGCAAGUCGAACGGGUGGCGGACGGGUGAGUAAUGUCUGGGAAACUGCAUGAUGGAGGGGGAGAACUGCUGGAAACGGUAGCUAAUACCGCAUACCAUCGGAUGUGCCCAGAUGGGAUUAUCUAGUAGGUGGGGUAAAGGCUCACCUAGGCUACGAUCCCUAGCUGGGCUGAGAGGAUGACCAGCCACACUGGCACUGAGAAACGGUCCAGACUCCUACGGGAGGCAUCAGUUGGGAAUAUUUCACAAUGGGCGAAAGCCUGAUGCAGCCAUGCCGCGUGUCUGAAGAAGGCCUUCGGGUUGUAAAGUACUUUCAGCGGGGAGGCGUUACCCGCAGAAGAAGCAUCGGCUAACUCCGUGCCAGCAGCCGCGGUAAUAC
rnacentral:rRNA from 1 species